UACGGGGGGAGUAAGCGUUAUUCGGAAUGACUGGGCGUAAAGGGUACGUAGGCGGUUUUUUAGGUUGAAAGCGUAAGUUUCAAGCUAUACUUGAAGAAUGCUUUCAAAACCCAAAAUCUAGAGCCUGAGUGAGGAGAGUAGAAUUUUUAGUGUAGAGGUGAAAUUUGUAGAUAUUAAAAGGAAUGCCGAGGCGAAGGCAACUCUCUGAAUCAACGGCUGACGCUGAGGUACGAAAGCGUAGGGAGCAAGCGGGAUUAGAGACCCCGUUAGUCUACGCAGUCAACGAUGCCGGUUCAUCCUUGUGUGUAAAUGCAGGGAUCUAGCUAACGCGUCAAACCGGCCGCCUGAGGACUACGGCCGCAAGGUUAAAACUCAAAGGAAUUGACGGGGGCUCGCACAAGCAGUGGAGUAUGCGCUUUAAUUCGAUACAACGCGAAAAACCUUACCAGUUCUUGACAUACCUAUGAAAUCCAUUUAAAAGUGGAAAAUUCUAAAGGCUUUGCCUUUAUGAUACGAGGUACAGGUGCUGCAUGGCUGUCGCCAGCUCGUGUCGCGAGAUGUUUGGUUCAGUCCUGAAAACGAGCGAAACCCUUUUUUUGAGUCCCAAUUACUCAAAAUAGAGUCUAUGAUAAAUAGAAGGAAGGGGGACUACGUCAAGUCAUCAUGGCCCUUAUGAACUGGGCUUGACGCGUACUACAAUGGAAAGUACAAAAGGAGGCGAUAAUGAAAGUUGGAGCAAAUCCCAAAAACUUUCCUUAGUUGGGAUUGGUCUCUGAAAUUCGAGAUCAUGAACGAGGAAUUACUAGUAAUCGUGGAUCAGCAUGCCACGGUGAAAAUGUACCCGAGCCU
rnacentral:rRNA from 1 species